AUGAUCUUCCUCCUCCUCUCCUCAUCGAAGCCACCAUCAUCUUUCCGACAACUGUUGACUCUCCUCAUUUCUCUCUCCCCAGACCGACCGGAUUCGGUGGCCUUGAGCUCGUGGCCGCCGGAUCUCCGAUGGCGGGGCGAGUGGCAGGGUCCGGGUGGGUGGUGGGAUCCUGUGAGGAUCGAGGGGGCAGCGGGAUCUGGUAGGGAGGCCGACGAUGGAUCUGGUGGGGAGGUAGGGACUAGGGAGGUAAUCUCACCUUUAAAAAGGAGGAGGUACCAAACUUAAUUUUAUACAA
rnacentral:lncRNA from 1 species